AGGACGAACGCUGGCGGCGUGCUUAACACAUGCAAGUCGAGCGGUAAGGCCUUUCGGGGUACACGAGCGGCGAACGGGUGAGUAACACGUGGGUGAUCUGCCCUGCACUCUGGGAUAAGCUUGGGAAACUGGGUCUAAUACCGGAUAUGACUGCAUCAUGCAUGGGGUGUGGUGGAAAGAUUUAUCGGUGCAGGAUGGGCCCGCGGCCUAUCAGCUUGUUGGUGGGGUAAUGGCCUACCAAGGCGACGACGGGUAGCCGACCUGAGAGGGUGACCGGCCACACUGGGACUGAGACACGGCCCAGACUCCUACGGGAGGCAGCAGUGGGGAAUAUUGCACAAUGGGCGGAAGCCUGAUGCAGCGACGCCGCGUGAGGGAUGAAGGCCUUCGGGUUGUAAACCUCUUUCAGCAGGGACGAAGCGUGAGUGACGGUACCUGCAGAAGAAGCACCGGCUAACUACGUGCCAGCAGCCGCGGUAAUACGUAGGGUGCGAGCGUUGUCCGGAAUUACUGGGCGUAAAGAGUUCGUAGGCGGUUUGUCGCGUCGUUUGUGAAAACCCGGGGCUCAACUUCGGGCUUGCAGGCGAUACGGGCAGACUUGAGUGUUUCAGGGGAGACUGGAAUUCCUGGUGUAGCGGUGAAAUGCGCAGAUAUCAGGAGGAACACCGGUGGCGAAGGCGGGUCUCUGGGAAACAACUGACGCUGAGGAACGAAAGCGUGGGUAGCAAACAGGAUUAGAUACCCUGGUAGUCCACGCCG
rnacentral:rRNA from 1 species